UACCAGCACCCCGAGUGGUCGGGACGAUUAUUGGGCCUAAAGCAUCCGUAGCCGGCCUUACAAGUCCCCCGUUAAAUCCAACUGCUUAACAGAUGGGCUGCGGAGGAUACUAUAAGACUAGGAGGCAGGAGAGGCAAGCGGUACUCAGUGGGUAGGGGUAAAAUCCGUUGAUCCAUUGAAGACCACCAGUGGCGAAGGCGGCUUGCCCAGAA
rnacentral:rRNA from 1 species